UUGCUUUCUGAUUGUUUACUGAAGACAUGCGAGUUGUCAAGGUGCCAAGCCUGUUAUGCCUGCUACUGCUCAUGCCUCUUCUUUUAGUUCCUGGCUCGGAAGCCGAGACCUGCACUUAUGAGUGCAGGACCGAUAGCACUCUUCUAUGCAAGAAGGCUAAAUGUGUUGAGGUCUGCCACAAGGAGGGCUAUACUAGUGGGUUUUGUUACCUGUUCGCAAAAAUUUGUUACUGCCAAAAUGAGUGUUGAAUAAGAAAAAUCCUGCAACUAUUGUAGGAUGUGUGAUGUAACAAAAAAUAAGGUUGUGUACUAUGAUUAA